CACGGACCAAGGAGUUUAUCGUGUGCGCAAGUCAUUGGGUGAAUAAAACCCAAAGGCGAAAUGAAAGUAAAGGGGGAGACUGUACCUCCUUUUCGGGAAGACAGAGGUCCCAUACGAACAUUGUUCAUAAGGUUGAUUUCUCGUACUCCCGGGGCGCUUGUUUCUCGCUUUGCGAGUCUAUGCGCACCUAGAGCGUACACGCUGAUACCCGAAAGAUGGUGAACUAUGCCUGGCCAGGACGAAGCCAGGGGAAACCCUGGUGGAGGUCCGCAGCGAUUCUGACGUGCAAAUCGAUCGUCGGAGCUGGGUAUAGGGGCGAAAGACCAAUCGAACCAUCUAGUAGCUGGUUCCCUCUGAAGUUUCCCUCAGGAUAGCUUGCGCUCGGUUGAGACGAGUCUCAUCCGGUAGAGCGAAUGAUUAGAGGCAUUGGGGUCGAAACGACCUCAACCUAUUCUCAAACUCCAAAUAGAUGAGAACCUCGGCUUGCUUAAAAUUGAAGCCGUAGGAUUCGGAUCAGAGUGCCAAGUGGGCCAAUUUUGGUAAGCAGAACU
rnacentral:rRNA from 1 species